rnacentral:sRNA from 1 species
ACACCCGUAUUGUUGGAUUAUGUGGGGUUUAAUCGAGCUUAUCCUCGUUCGUUUUUUUAUACAACCUGUUCAUAUUGGCGAGCUAACGUCGCCCGCUCCAGGCCGGAAACGCUGCACUGCCCUUUUGUGGAAAUGCUCUGAAACGCCCUAAAAAUGGCCAUCAAGCCCUUGUUUAGGGCAG